rnacentral:rRNA from 1 species
CCUACGGGAGGCUGCAGUGGGGAAUAUUGGGCAAUGGGCGCAAGCCUGACCCAGCCACGCCGCGUGAGUGAUGAAGGCCUUCGGGUCGUAAAGCUCUGUGGGGAGGGACGCGGUACCUCCUUAGCAAGCACCGGCUAACUCUGUGCCAGCAGCCGCGGUAAUACAGAGGGUGCAAACGUUGCUCGGAAUCAUUGGGCGUAAAGCGCACGUAGGCGGCCUAGCAAGUAGGGAGUGAAAGCCCUCGGCUUAACCGAGGAAGUGCUUUCUAAACUACUAGGCUUGAAUACUGGAGAGGGUCGCGGAAUUCCCGGUGUAGAGGUGAAAUUCGUAGAUAUCGGGAGGAACACCAGUGGCGAAGGCGGCGACCUGAAGAUAUUGACGCUGAGGUGCGAAAGCGUGGGGAGCAAACAGGAUUAGAUACCCUUGUAGUC